GCCGGGUGUGGUGGUGGGCGCCUGUAGUCCCAGCUACUCGGGAGGCUGAGGCAGGAGAAUGGUGCGAACCCAGGAGGCAGAGCUUGCAGUAAGCUGAGAUUGCGCCACUGCAUUCCAGCCUGGGUGACAGAGCGAGACUCUGUCACAAUUUAAAAAAAAAAAAAGAAAAGAUGGAGUCUUAUCUGUUACCCAGGCUGGAGUGCAAUGGCGUGAUCUCGGCUCACCGCAACCUCCGCCUCCUAGAUUCAAGUGAUUCUCCUGCCUCAG
rfam:Gorilla gorilla gorilla genomic chromosome, chr1, whole genome shotgun sequence